UAAAGUAUAAACAUGGAAUAGAUCUCCCAAUUAAUUUACUUGGAUCACAUUGGAUAAACCCAUUAAUCAUGUGUUCUUCGCCUCCAAAGCUAUUGACGCGUUUGGGUCAUGUCUUUAAUACCCAUCGAUUUGAAGCCAUAAAAUGAGAUGGCUUUGUCGUAUUCGCAAGACUAAAUGCACGGACAAAGCGUGUCGAUUUCAUGAGGCCCCAAGUUGGUUUCUGUAUUUGGGACGUGUUUCUGUGGCACAACGCAGAGUCACCCGUUGUAAUUGAUGAAGGCGACGCUGAUGAAGAUGGUAUUUCUGGAACUAGUGGAUGAGAUUCUAUUGAUGUUGACUCUAGUGCAGUAAUGCUCUUGCUUCCUAUCUGUUUAGGUUUAUGGCGACGUCAGAUAGCAAAACAUAACCAACCUUUUUAAUGACAUAACUACCCUGCAAUCAGGAUCAGGGCAACCCAGGGCAUGAGUCUGCAAAUGCAAAUACAAAUACAAUCACUCAAGCUUUUCAACGAGAAAGAUGAAGCAUGCCAAGGCCAUCAUGGUGGGUAGAAGAAGUUUUGACAGAGAAAAUCUCUCCGGUGGAAUAUUAUCUGGUGGGAAGCGUAACCAAUGUGUCAUUUUACCGGGCAAUGUCUCUAUGGUUGCUGAUUCUUUCGAACGAAGAAACCAGAACUGGAUUGCUCGGGCGAAUUCAGCUCCAGAUUUGAUCAUACAAGUUGGAGAUUCCAGCUUUCAUUUGCACAAGCUUCCUAUGGUCUCAAGAAGUGAAUAUUUGAAUAGACUUGUCUUUCACAGGAAUAACAAUAGAGAGAGUGCAGGUGACAUCCUCAAAAUCCAAAUAGAAAAUCUUCCAGGUGGAGUAAAAACCUUUGAAUUGGUGGUGAAGUUCUGUUAUGGAUGGAAAAUUGAAAUAACAGCCAGUAAUGUCGCCUCACUAUAUUGUGCUGCACAUUUCUUGGAAAUGAGUGAUGACCUCGAAAAAGGAAAUCUCAUUUCCAAGACGGAGACUUUUAUGAGCUUUUUGAUGUUAUCUUCAUGGAAAGACACAUUUCGUAUUCUCAAAUGCAGCGAACCCAUUUCCUCUUGGGCCAAGGAGCUAGACAUAGUGAAACGCUGCGCAGAAGCGAUAGCUUGGAAGGCCUGCAUUAACCCAAAAGCUUUCAGUUUUGAUUAUGAAUAUGCAGACUUCUUGAAUGUUCGAGCUAGAAAAACCAAUACCUCAGAAGAUGAAAACAGAGCGGACACCUGGUGGUUCGAAGAUGUAGCACUCCUUAGAAUAGAUCACUUCAUUGAGGUGAUUCAGUCUAUUAAAAGACGAGGAAUGAGAUCAGAUCUAGUUGGAUCAUGCAUAGCACAUUGGACCACCAAAUGGCUUUCGCAAGUCACGUUGGGACUUGAGAAGGUCACCCCAAAACACAUAACCCAACAGUUACACCGAGUUACAGCUGAAUGCUUGAUUAGAAUACUUCCUACUGAAGAAAACUCUGUCGCUUGCAAUUUCUUGCUUCACCUGCUCAAGGCAGGGGUGAUGCUGAAAAUAAACCCAGAGUUGUUGAGUGUGCUGGAAAGAAGAAUAGCUCUCAUGUUGGAGCAAUGUCGUGUUGAAGAUCUCUUGGUUAAGAAUCAAGGAGACAGUGAUUCUAUGUACGAUGUAGCUGUUGUCCAUCGGGUACUACAAUUUUAUGCUUCACACAUGUUUACAGAUGGUGCAGCCAAAUUUCAUGUUGUUGGGAGGUUGGUGGAUGGGUAUCUAACAAAAGUUGCGAGCGACGAGAAUCUCACAGUGGAAAGCUUCCAAUCACUAGUUGAAGUUCUGCCACAAGACGCUCGUUACUAUGACGACAGCAUCUAUAGAGCCAUUGACACGUACCUCAAGGCACAUCCAGAUUUGACAGAAGAAGAAAGAACAAGGGUGUGCAGGGUGCUGGAGUAUCAUAGAUUAUCAGAAGAAGCACGCCGGCAUGUGAUGAAGAAUGAGAGGCUGCCCUUGAAAUUGACAACGAGAUUUGUGCUUUUAGAGCAAGUGAGCAUGACAAGGUCAAUGACUAAGACAAAUUACCGAAGAACAAGCACUCAGACGAUCAUCAGAGUGAGCAAAGAUUUUGAGAACGGAUGGCUGAAUACCCAGGAGAUACAGACGAUGAGGAAAGACAUGGAAAUGGUGAAGUCACAGCUCAAGGAUCUGCUUGCGUGCAAAAUAAAGCUUCAAAAGCAACUCAAGAGAUUCAUUGGUUGACACGUGACGGUCAAUUUCUUCUUCUUCCUAUUCCUCGUUUUUCAGAGCAAUAUUUGCUAAGUUAGUACUUGAUUCUGAUGGAUGGAAGACCAUUAGAGCGGCAGUUAAAGAAUAAACCCCUGUUUUGGUUGAUUAUAGAAAUACCAUAACUGCCUAAAAAUGAAAAGGAAAAUCCAAAAGGUAAGAAAUUAAACGUGAAUAGGUUUAGGGAAAUCAUGCGUACUUGGACAUGUGACAGCAAGAAUGUUGAAUAUAAAGCAGAGGGUUGGUGGCGUUGGCUCUGUUUCCAUACCGUUUCAUUAGGUGAAGAAAAUGUUGAAUGUGGGGAGUGCAGAGGAAGUAGAAGAUAGCUUGAACACAGAAUCUCCGAAAUUCAGAGAUCCAUGGCCAUUUAGGAUCAAACUGAACUCCGAUAAUUUGCGUUGGGAUAGCCUCAAGAUCUCAGCUGCGAAGGAGUUCGAAGAAUCCAUUUCAGGACAAAUGAAUGAGGACAGCCGCAAAGCUCUGGUGGCGUGGGUUCCUGUGAAGGUAUCGAUCUAUGACGUCGAUACUGGCGAGACUUACAAUGCGAAGAUGGCGAAGAAAGAGCUGUUUUGGUUUGAUCCUAUGCCUUGUUUGGGUGAAAGGCGCGGCGGAGAGACGAGGGAGCCUCCAUGUUACGAUUUGAAGACGGCCAGGGAAGCCUUUGUUUAUUCAAUUGAACCUUUCAGGCAUAUCGUCAAGAGAAGAGAUCUGAAAUAUGGUCAAGAAAUUGGACUUCGGGUCUCCCACCACCAGAACCACGUGGCCGAGGGCUUGCAAUUUUCAGUUCUCUACUCCCCGUUCUUGGGUAUCCAUUGCUUCGGAUUUUGAAACAUGAUAGAUUGCUCUUCAUAUGAUGUACACUCGCUCUUCUCUUCUUAAAUGCUUGUUUUGUUCCCUUCC